rnacentral:rRNA from 1 species
UACGGAGGGUGCAAGCGUUAAUCGGAAUUACUGGGCGUAAAGCGCACGUAGGUGGUUUGCUAAGUCAGCUGUGAAAUCCCCGGGCUCAACCUGGGCACUGCAGUUGAAACUGGCAAGCUAGAGUAGGGUAGAGGGGUGUGGAAUUCCAGGCGUAGCGGUGAAAUGCAUAGAUAUCUGGAGGAACAUCAGUGGCGAAGGCGACACCCUGGACUCAUACUGACACUGAGGUGCGAAAGCGUGGGGAGCAAACAGA